rnacentral:rRNA from 1 species
UUAAGCGACUAAGCGUACACGGUGGAUGCCCUGGCAGUCAGAGGCGAUGAAGGACGUGCUAAUCUGCGAUAAGCGUCGGUAAGGUGAUAUGAACCGUUAUAACCGGCGAUUUCCGAAUGGGGAAACCCAGUGUGUUUCGACACACUAUCAUUAACUGAAUCCAUAGGUUAAUGAGGCGAACCGGGGGAACUGAAACAUCUAAGUACCCCGAGGAAAAGAAAUCAACCGAGAUUCCCCCAGUAGCGGCGAGCGAACGGGGAGCAGCCCAGAGCCUGAAUCAGUGUGUGUGUUAGUGGAAGCGUCUGGAAAGGCGCGCGAUACAGGGUGACAGCCCCGUACACAAAAAUGCACAUACUGUGAGCUCGAUGAGUAGGGCGGGACACGUGGUAUCCUGUCUGAAUAUGGGGGGACCAUCCUCCAAGGCUAAAUACUCCUGACUGACCGAUAGUGAACCAGUACCGUGAGGGAAAGGCGAAAAGAACCCCGGCGAGGGGAGUGAAAAAGAACCUGAAACCGUGUACGUACAAGCAGUGGGAGCCUCUUUAUGGGGUGACUGCGUACCUUUUGUAUAAUGGGUCAGCGACUUAUAUUCUGUAGCAAGGUUAACCGAAUAGGGGAGCCGAAGGGAAACCGAGUCUUAACUGGGCGUUAAGUUGCAGGGUAUAGACCCGAAACCCGGUGAUCUAGCCAUGGGCAGGUUGAAGGUUGGGUAACACUAACUGGAGGACCGAACCGACUAAUGUUGAAAAAUUAGCGGAUGACUUGUGGCUGGGGGUGAAAGGCCAAUCAAACCGGGAGAUAGCUGGUUCUCCCCGAAAGCUAUUUAGGUAGCGCCUCGUGAAUUCAUCUCCGGGGGUAGAGCACUGUUUCGGCAAGGGGGUCAUCCCGACUUACCAACCCGAUGCAAACUGCGAAUACCGGAGAAUGUUAUCACGGGAGACACACGGCGGGUGCUAACGUCCGUCGUGAAGAGGGAAACAACCCAGACCGCCAGCUAAGGUCCCAAAGUCAUGGUUAAGUGGGAAACGAUGUGGGAAGGCCCAGACAGCCAGGAUGUUGGCUUAGAAGCAGCCAUCAUUUAAAGAAAGCGUAAUAGCUCACUGGUCGAGUCGGCCUGCGCGGAAGAUGUAACGGGGCUAAACCAUGCACCGAAGCUGCGGCAGCGACGCUUAUGCGUUGUUGGGUAGGGGAGCGUUCUGUAAGCCUGCGAAGGUGGCCUGUGAGGGUUGCUGGAGGUAUCAGAAGUGCGAAUGCUGACAUAAGUAACGAUAAAGCGGGUGAAAAGCCCGCUCGCCGGAAGACCAAGGGUUCCUGUCCAACGUUAAUCGGGGCAGGGUGAGUCGACCCCUAAGGCGAGGCCGAAAGGCGUAGUCGAUGGGAAACAGGUUAAUAUUCCUGUACUUGGUGUUACUGCGAAGGGGGGACGGAGAAGGCUAUGUUGGCCGGGCGACGGUUGUCCCGGUUUAAGCGUGUAGGCUGAUUUUCCAGGCAAAUCCGGAAAAUCAAGGCUGAGGCGUGAUGACGAGGCACUACGGUGCUGAAGCAACAAAUGCCCUGCUUCCAGGAAAAGCCUCUAAGCAUCAGGUAACAUCAAAUCGUACCCCAAACCGACACAGGUGGUCAGGUAGAGAAUACCAAGGCGCUUGAGAGAACUCGGGUGAAGGAACUAGGCAAAAUGGUGCCGUAACUUCGGGAGAAGGCACGCUGAUAUGUAGGUGAAGUCCCUUGCGGAUGGAGCUGAAAUCAGUCGAAGAUACCAGCUGGCUGCAACUGUUUAUUAAAAACACAGCACUGUGCAAACACGAAAGUGGACGUAUACGGUGUGACGCCUGCCCGGUGCCGGAAGGUUAAUUGAUGGGGUUAGCGGUAACGCGAAGCUCUUGAUCGAAGCCCCGGUAAACGGCGGCCGUAACUAUAACGGUCCUAAGGUAGCGAAAUUCCUUGUCGGGUAAGUUCCGACCUGCACGAAUGGCGUAAUGAUGGCCAGGCUGUCUCCACCCGAGACUCAGUGAAAUUGAACUCGCUGUGAAGAUGCAGUGUACCCGCGGCAAGACGGAAAGACCCCGUGAACCUUUACUAUAGCUUGACACUGAACAUUGAGCCUUGAUGUGUAGGAUAGGUGGGAGGCUUUGAAGUGUGGACGCCAGUCUGCAUGGAGCCGACCUUGAAAUACCACCCUUUAAUGUUUGAUGUUCUAACGUUGGCCCCUGAUCGGGGUUGCGGACAGUGUCUGGUGGGUAGUUUGACUGGGGCGGUCUCCUCCUAAAGAGUAACGGAGGAGCACGAAGGUUGGCUAAUCCUGGUCGGACAUCAGGAGGUUAGUGCAAUGGCAUAAGCCAGCUUGACUGCGAGCGUGACGGCGCGAGCAGGUGCGAAAGCAGGUCAUAGUGAUCCGGUGGUUCUGAAUGGAAGGGCCAUCGCUCAACGGAUAAAAGGUACUCCGGGGAUAACAGGCUGAUACCGCCCAAGAGUUCAUAUCGACGGCGGUGUUUGGCACCUCGAUGUCGGCUCAUCACAUCCUGGGGCUGAAGUAGGUCCCAAGGGUAUGGCUGUUCGCCAUUUAAAGUGGUACGCGAGCUGGGUUUAGAACGUCGUGAGACAGUUCGGUCCCUAUCUGCCGUGGGCGCUGGAGAACUGAGGGGGGCUGCUCCUAGUACGAGAGGACCGGAGUGGACGCAUCACUGGUGUUCGGGUUGUCAUGCCAAUGGCACUGCCCGGUAGCUAAAUGCGGAAGAGAUAAGUGCUGAAAGCAUCUAAGCACGAAACUUGCCCCGAGAUGAGUUCUCCCUGACUCCUUGAGAGUCCUGAAGGAACGUUGAAGACGACGACGUUGAUAGGCCGGGUGUGUAAGCGCAGCGAUGCGUUGAGCUAACCGGUACUAAUGAACCGUGAGGCUUAACCUU